rnacentral:lncRNA from 8 species
AUGGAAAACAGUCAAUUUCAUAGCUUUUGAAUAAUUGUUUCAUGUGUCUGUAGUGUAUAAUGCUACAGGAAAGAAUGGUACUUCUAAGGGUAAUGGGAGGGUCCCGCUCCUCUGCACCUAUGUGAUGAUGGAUCCCUUUCAGCUGGUGACCUCAACCAACUGCAGCGCUCGGCGUGGCUACCUCUGCACCCUGGUUUUUAAUAUCUCUACAAAUGCCUCAAAGAGUAUGGUAAGUGGCUUUUAUUAGUGGCCUUUAUCAGUUGUUGUAAUCCUAUGGUGCAGCGUCAGUAAAGUUAUUGUGAGUAUGAAUGGUUCUUGUUGACUUUUGUAGGACAAACAGGGAGCAAGUGGCAAAUCAAGACACUGGAGAAGCCAUCAAAUUAAAGUAAACCGUAAGUUGGUGGAAAGUAUGGUGGCAAAUUUGUUUCACGAUUUCAACCAACCAUUUACUUCCACAAACUAAACGUCUCUCUCUCUUUCUCUCUCUCCU